rnacentral:rRNA from 1 species
CAGCCGCCGCGGUAAUACGAAGGGGGCUAGCGUUGUUCGGAUUUACUGGGCGUAAAGGGCGCGUAGGCGGGCGAAUCAGUCAGGGGUGAAAUCCCAAGGCUCAACCCUGGAACUGCCUUUGAUACUGUUUGUCUUGAGUUCAAGAGAGGUAAGUGGAACUGCGAGUGUAGAGGUGAAAUUCGUAGAUAUUCGCAAGAACACCAGUGGCGAAGGCGGCUUACUGGCUCGAAACUGACGCUGAGGCGCGAAAGCGUGGGGAGCAAACAGGAUUAGAUACCCCCGUAGUCCCUGUCUCUUAUAC